CUACGGGGGGCACCAGUGAGGAAUAUUGCACAAUGGGGGGAACCCUGAUGCAGCAACGCCGCGUGGAGGAGGAGGAAGGGCGGGGGGUAAACUCCUUUUAUAUGUCAAGAACAUGCCUUUCUCCUCUUCAUAAGCACCGGCUAACUCCGUGCCAGCAGCCGCGGUAAUACGGAGGGUGCAAGCGUUACUCGGAAUCACUGGGCGUAAAGGACGCGUAGGCGGGUUGGAAAGUCAGGUGUGAAAUCCUACAGCUUAACUGUAGAACGGCACUUGAAACUUCUAAUCUAGAGUAUGGGAGGGGGAGAUGGAAUUAGUGGUGUAGGGGUAAAAUCCGUAGAUAUCACUAGGAAUACCUAAAGCGAAGGCGAUCUCCUGGAACAUUACUGACGCUAAGGCGUGCAAGCGUGGGGAUCAAACAGGAUUAGAUACCCCCGUAGUC
rnacentral:rRNA from 1 species